CUUUGGGGUGUGACUGCGUACCUUUUGUAUAAUGGGUCAGCGACUUAUAUUCUGUAGCAAGGUUAACCGUAUAGGGGAGCCGGAGGGAAACCGAGUCUUAACCGGGCGUUAAGUUGCAGGGUAUAGACCCGAAACCCGGUGAUCUAGCCAUGGGCAGGUUGAAGGUUGGGUAACACUAACUGGAGGACCGAACCGACUAAUGUUGAAAAAUUAGCGGAUGACCUGUGGCUGGGGGUGAAAGGCCAAUCAAACCGGGAGAUAGCUGGUUCUCCCCGAAAGCUAUUUAGGUAGCGCCUCGUGAAUUCAUCUCCGGGGGUAGAGCACUGUUUCGGCUAGGGGGCCAUCCCGGCUUACCAACCCGAUGCAAACUGCGAAUACCGGAGAAUGUUAUCACGGGAGACACACGGCGGGUGCUAACGUCCGUCGUGAAGAGGGAAACAACCCAGACCGCCAGCUAAGGUCCCAAAGUCAUGGUUAAGUGGGAAACGAUGUGGGAAGGCCCAGACAGCCAGGAUGUUGGCUUAGAAGCAGCCAUCAUUUAAAGAAAGCGUAAUAGCUCACUGGUCGAGUCGGCCUGCGCGGAAGAUGUAACGGGGCUAAACCAUGCACCGAAGCUGCGGCAGCGACGCUGAUGCGUUGUUGGGUAGGGGAGCGUUCUGUAAGCCUGCGAAGGUGGCCUGUGAGGGUUGCUGGAGGUAUCAGAAGUGCGAAUGCUGACAUAAGUAACGAUAAAGCGGGUGAAAAGCCCGCUCGCCGGAAGACCAAGGGUUCCUGUCCAACGUUAAUCGGGGCAGGGUGAGUCGACCCCUAAGGCGAGGCCGAAAGGCGUAGUCGAUGGGAAACGGGUUAAUAUUCCCGUACUUGGUGUUACUGCGAAGGGGGGACGGAGAAGGCUAUGUUGGCCGGGCGACGGUUGUCCCGGUUUAAGCGUGUAGGUGUGUGUUCCAGGUAAAUCCGGUUCACUUUAACACUGAGGCGUGA
rnacentral:rRNA from 1 species